GAUCCUGGCUCAGGAUGAACGCUGGCGGCGUGCUUAACACAUGCAAGUCGAACGGACGAUGAAAAGCUUGCUUUUCAAAGUUAGUGGUGGACGGGUGAGUAACGCGUGGGUAACCUGCCUCACACAGGGGGAUAACAGUUAGAAAUGACUGCUAAUACCGCAUAAGCGCACAGGGUCGCAUGACCUGGUGUGAAAAACUCCGGUGGUAUGAGAUGGACCCGCGUCUGAUUAGCUAGUUGG
rnacentral:rRNA from 1 species